GACGAACGCUGGCGGCGUGCUUAACACAUGCAAGUCGAACGGAAAGGCCUCUUUCGGGGGGUACUCGAGUGGCGAACGGGUGAGUAACACAUGAGUAACCUGCCCUUGACUUUGGGAUAACUUCAGGAAACUGUGGCUAAUACCGGAUAUGAGCUCCUGCUGCAUGUUGGGGGUUGGAAAUUUUCGGCGGUUGGGGAUGGACUCGCGGCUUAUCAGCUUGUUGGUGGGGUAGUGGCUUACCAAGGCUUUGACGGGUAGCCGGCCUGAGAGGGUGACCGGCCACAUUGGGACUGAGAUACGGCCCAGACUCCUACGGGAGGCAGCAGUGGGGAAUAUUGCACAAUGGGUGGAAGCCUGAUGCAGCAACGCCGGGUGCGGGAUGACGGCCUUCGGGUUGUAAACCGCUUUCGCUCAUGACGAAGCUUUGUGUGACGGUAGUGGGUAAAGAAGCACCGGCUAACUACGUG
rnacentral:rRNA from 1 species